rnacentral:rRNA from 1 species
GCAAGUCGAACGAGAAAACUAAAUAGCUUGCUAAUUGGUUUUCUAGUGGCGGACGGGUUAGUAACACGUGAGCAACCUGCCUCGUAGUGGGGGAUAGCCUUCCGACAGGAAGAUUAAUACCGCAUGUGACCCCCUUUUAUUAGGGUGGUUAAAGAUGCCUUCGGGUGUCGCUUUGAGAUGGGCUCGCGGCCUAUCAGCUAGUUGGUGAGGUAAUGGCUCACCAAGGCGACGACGGGUAGCUGGUCUGAGAGGACGAUC